UGUCUGUCACACAGAGCCGAAGUGAUGUCUUAAGCUGUCAUUAUUGAAGCCAAGUGUCCAGCAAUCUUCCCAGUGACAACUCAUUCAACUUCAUGUUUCAGAUGAAGUGAUCCAAUUGGAGGUUGUCAGAUCAUCAGUCAUAGUGGCUGUCUGUCCCACAGAGCAGAAGUGUCGCUCAAGCUACUGAAGUCUUGUUUCAAGCAAUCUGCGAAUAUAUAAACCCAUUCAACUUCAUGUUUUAAGAUGAAGUGAUCCAAACAGGGAUGGUCAGAUCAUCCAGUCAUAGUGGCUGUCUGUCUCACAGAGCAGAAGUGAUGUCUCAAGCUGUCAUUAUUGAAGCCCAGUGUCCAGCAAUCUUCCUGAUGACAACUCAUUCAACUUGAUGUUUACAGAUCAAGUAAUCCAGACAGAGAGUGUCAUAUCUUCACAAGGAGUUCCUGCCAUCCCCAGCACAGAUGUUGCAACCUUUAUGGAGUUUGUAUUUAGUUGUAGGUCUUUAUUACAGGGGUGGAUCAUAAAGUUUAUGAUUGUGUGGUGAAUUGCUCACACUUACUCUUGUGUGGUGAAUUGCUCACACUUUCCCUCGUGUUGGGAAUUUCACGCACUUCCCCUUGUGUAGGAUUUCUGGCACGUCCACUUUGCUAUGGUGGUAAAUUGCUCACACUUGCCCUUGUGUGGUAAAUUAUCAAGUUUACUUACUGGAAUGUUGUCUAAGGCUUAGUUCGAAGACUGUUUCUUCCCUUAGUUAUAGUGUCUUGAGUCACUGGCACUUCCCUUGGUGUCGUGGGUUACUGACACUUCCCUUUGUGUCGUGAGUUAUUACACUUCCCUUUGUGCGGUGAGUUACCGACACUUCCCUUCGUGUCAUGAGUUACUGACACUUCCCUUUGUGCGAUGAGUUUUGACACUUUCCUUUGUGUCAUGAGUUACUGACGCUUCCCUUUGUGUCAUGAGUUAAAGACACUUUCAUUUGUGUCGUGAGUUACUGACACUUUCAUUUGUGUCCUGAGUUACUGACACUUCCCUAUGUGUCAUGAGUUACAGAAACUUCCCUUUGUGUCAUGAGUUACUGACACUUCCCUUUGUGUCUUGAGUUACUGACACUUCCCUUUGUGUCAUGAGUUACUGACACUUCCCUUUGUGUCAUGAGUUACAGACCAUUUCCUUUUUGUCAUGAGUUACAGACCAUUUCCUUUUUGUCAUGAGUUACAGACACUUUCCUUUGUGUCGUGAGUUACUGACACUUCCUUUUGUGUGGUGAGUUACUGACACUUCCCUCUGUGUCGUGCCCUUUCGGUGUUGAGUUACUGACACUUUCCUUGGUGUCGUGAGUUACCGACACUUCCCUUUGUGUCGUGAGUUAUGCAUACUUUCCUUGUAUGGUAACCACUUUCACAUACUUUGACUAGUGUUUAGAUUUCCCCUUGAGUUUAGAAACAUUAUUCCCUUUCCCACUCAAAGGUUAAUGAUUCAGAUUCAUACAUGCCAAAUUCACAAAACAAAAUCUUCAAGAAAACCUUCCCUUGCAGAGAAUCAGGGCACUCUGAUUGUCUUCUUGGGACACAGUUUUACCAGUCAUAGAACACUCAGACUGAAACUGUACAAAGAAGUAUUAUUAAAUAAAUUGUUUGCAUAACUUUUGGAUGAAUAUAAUUGAAACCUUCCUUUGCGGAUAAUCAGGGCAAUCUGAUUGUCUUCUUGGCACACAGUUUUACUAGUCAGAGAGCACUCUGAUUUAAACUGUUGCAUGGAAUAUUUAACAAAACUCUUCAUUUCUUAUUUAUCUUGACAGUUGAUUUUUAUAGAAUAACAAUCAUUUCUGAAUCAUAUGUCUUUGUUUUACUUAAAAUAAAUGCUUGAGCUGCUCCUAUACCCACAAAUGAGACCAUUCAAAAGUGUAAAACU